GAUGAACGCUAGCUACAGGCUUAACACAUGCAAGUCGAGGGACCGGCGCACGUGUGAGUAACACGUAUCCAACCUUCCCUUUACUCGGGGAUAGCCUUUCGACAGAAAGAUUCAUCCCAGAUGUAAAGGAUGGGGAUGCGUUCCAUUAGGUUGUUGGUUAGGUAACAGCUCACCAAUCCUUCGAUGGCUAGGGGUUCUGAGAGUAAGGUCACCCAGAUUGGAACUGAGGCACGGUCCAAAAUCCUACGGGAGGCAGCAGUGAGGAAUAUUGGUCAAUGGGCGUUAGCCUGAACCAGCCAAGUAGGGUGAAGGAGGAAGGCUUAUGGGUCGUAAACUUCUUGUAUAUAAGAAUAUGUAUUAUAUGAAUAAGGAUCGGCUAACUCCGUGCCAGCAGCCGCGGUAAUUC
rnacentral:rRNA from 1 species